GACCUCGUAGCUCAGUUGGCUAGUGCGUUGGCUGGCAUGGGUUCGAAUCCCACCGAGUUCG
rfam:Schistocephalus solidus strain NST_G2 genome assembly, scaffold: SSLN_scaffold0009339